rnacentral:rRNA from 1 species
UAUGUAGGGUGCGAGCGUUGUCCGGAAUUAUUGGGCGUAAAGGGCUCGUAGGCGGUUGUCGCGUCGGGAGUGAAAACUCAGGGCUUAACCCUGAGCCUGCUUCCGAUACGGGCAGACUAGAGGUAUGCAGGGGAGAACGGAAUUCCUGGUGUAGCGGUGAAAUGCGCAGAUAUCAGGAGGAACACCGGUGGCGAAGGCGGUUCUCUGGGCAUUACCUGACGCUGAGGAGCGAAAGUGUGGGGAGCGAACAGG